rnacentral:lncRNA from 1 species
AUCUGCAACCUGCUGCUCUACUUGGCUUUCUACAUCAUCAUGAAGCUUCGAAGCUCUGAGAAGGUCCUCCCCCUACCAGUCUUCUGCAUCGUGGCCACUGCUGUGGUGUGGGCUGCGGCCCUGUACUUUUUCUUCCAGAACCUCAGCAGCUGGGAGGGAACUCCAGCCGAAUCCCGGGAGAAGAACCGAGAGUGUGUCCUGCUGGGUUUCUUUGAUGACCAUGACAUCUGGCACUUCCUUUCUGCUACUGCCCUGUUUUUCUCAUUCCUGGUGUUGUUGACUCUGGAUGACGACCUUGAUGUGGUCCGCAGAGACCAGAUCCCUGUCUUCUGAGCCCCCCGGCAUCACAGGGGGGAAAGGGAGCAAUCCACCUUGGUGCUGUUUUGUGGAAAAUAUGGUGAGUGCAGCAGCAAGCCCACUG